UACAGAGGUCCCAAGCGUUACUGAGAAUCACUGGGUUUAAAGGGUGCGUAGGUGGUCCGUUAAGUCAGUUGUGAAAUCCCCGGGCUCAACCCGGGAACUGCUUCUGAUACUGGCGGACUUGAGGCCAGUAGGGGUCACUAGAACUGACGGUGGAGCGGUGAAAUGCGUAGAUAUCGGAAGGAACGCCGGUGGCGAAAGCGACGUGCUGGACCUCUUCUGACGCUGAGGCGCGAAAGCCAGGGGAGCAAACGGG
rnacentral:rRNA from 1 species